GGGAAGUAGGGCUGUAUGAUGGAGAUGUAGGGCUAUAGGAGGGUGAGGUUGGGCUGUAAGAAGGAGAUGUCGGACUGUAUGAUGGCGAUGUUGGGCUGUAUGAUGGAGACGUGGGGCUGUAUGCAGGUGAAGUUGGGCUAUAUGCCGGUGAAGUAGGGCUGUAGCUUGGUGAAGUUGGACUAUAACUUGGUGAAGUAGGACUGUAACUUGGAGACGUAGGGCUGUAGCUUGGAGACGUAGGGCUGUAGCUUGGAGAGGUAGGGCUAUAGCUCGGUGAGGUUGGAGAAUAAGAGGGACUUGUAGGUGAGUAGGCUGGACUUGUUGGGCUGUAACCUGGUGAACUAGGACUGUAAGUAGGUGAUGUGGGGCUGUAACCAGGCGAGGUAGGACUGUAGCCAGGAGAUGUAGGGCUGUAACCAGGCGAGGUAGGACUGUAGCCAGGAGAUGAAGGACUGUAGCCAGGAGAUGAUGGGCUGUAACCAGGGGAUGACGUGGGAGAGAAUGCCAUCCCACCAACAUAAGGUGAGAACUGAGCAUCCGAAAUGGGAGAGAGACGGAGAUUUGGGCUCAGCAAGUAACUUGGAGACAUCAUGCCUUCAUGAUAUGGAGUUCCUGAUACUGGAGAUCGA
rnacentral:lncRNA from 1 species